rnacentral:tRNA from 1 species
CGGGGCGUGGCGCAGUCUGGUUCAGCGCGCGCGGUUCGGGACCGCGAGGUCGACAGUUCAAAUCUGUCCGCCCCGA